rnacentral:rRNA from 1 species
CCUACGGGUGGCAGCAGUGAGGAAUAUUGGUCAAUGGGAGGGAUCCUGAACCAGCCAUGUAGCGUGCAGGACGACUGCCCUACGAGUUGUAAACUUCUUUUGUACCGGAGUAAAAUGCUCCACGUGUAGGGUUUUGUAUGUACGGUAUGAAUAAGGAUCGGCUAACUCCGUGCCAGCAGCCGCGGUAAUACGGAGGAUCCGAGCGUUAUCCGGAUUUAUUGGGUUUAAAGGGUGCGUAGGUUGAUUUAUAAGUCAGUGGUGAAAGUCCGAUGCUCAACCGUAGAAUUGCAGUUAAUACUGUAGGACUAGAGAACAGAAGCAGCAGGCGGAAGUCGUGGUGUAGCGGUGAAAUGCAUAGAUAUUACGAAGAACUCCGAUUGCGAAGGCAGCUUACUGGGCGGCAACUGACACUGAGGCACGAAAGUGUGGGGAUCAAACAGGAUUAGAUACCCGGGUAGUC